AGAGUUUGAUCAUGGCUCAGGAUGAACGCUAGCGACAGGCUUAACACAUGCAAGUCGAGGGGCAGCACGAUGUAGCAAUACAUUGGUGGCGACCGGCGCACGGGUGCGUAACACGUAUGCAACCUACCCAUAAGCGGGGAAUAACCCGGAGAAAUCCGGACUAAUACCGCAUAGUACGUUUGAGUGGCAUCACUUAAACUUUAAAGAUUUAUCACUUAUGGAUGGGCAUGCGCAUGAUUAGAUAGUAGGCGGGGUAACGGCCCACCUAGUCAACGAUCAUUAGGGGUUCUGAGAGGAAGGUCCCCCACAUUGGUACUGAGACACGGACCAAACUCCUACGGGAGGCAGCAGUGAGGAAUAUUGGUCAAUGGGCGAGAGCCUGAACCAGCCAAGUCGCGUGAAGGAAGAAGGAUCUAUGGUUCGUAAACUUCUUUUUUAGGGGAAUAAAGUGCGGUACGUGUACCGUUUUGUAUGUACCCUACGAAUAAGGAUCGGCUAACUCCGUGCCAGCAGCCGCGGUAAUACGGAGGAUCCGAGCGUUAUCCGGAUUUAUUGGGUUUAAAGGGUGCGUAGGCGGAAGAAUAAGUCAGUGGUGAAAGUUUGCAGCUCAACUGUAAAAUUGCCGUUGAAACUGUUUUUCUUGAGUGUAAAUGAGGUAGGCGGAAUGUGUUGUGUAGCGGUGAAAUGCUUAGAUAUGACACAGAACACCGAUUGCGAAGGCAGCUUACUAAGAUACAACUGACGCUGAGGCACGAAAGCGUGGGGAUCGAACAGGAUUAGAUACCCUGGUAGUCCAUGCUGUAAACGAUGAUUGCUAGGUGUGGGUGGACUGACCCCAUCCGUGCCGGAGUUAACACAAUAAGCAAUCCACCUGGGGAGUACGGCCGCAAGGUUGAAACUCAAAUGAAUUGACGG
rnacentral:rRNA from 1 species